rnacentral:rRNA from 1 species
GCACGCUUCGGCGUGUGACUGCGUACCUUUUGUAUAAUGGGUCAGCGACUUAUAUUCUGUAGCAAGGUUAACCGAAUAGGGGAGCCGAAGGGAAACCGAGUCUUAACUGGGCGUUAAGUUGCAGGGUAUAGACCCGAAACCCGGUGAUCUAGCCAUGGGCAGGUUGAAGGUUGGGUAACACUAACUGGAGGACCGAACCGACUAAUGUUGAAAAAUUAGCGGAUGACUUGUGGCUGGGGGUGAAAGGCCAAUCAAACCGGGAGAUAGCUGGUUCUCCCCGAAAGCUAUUUAGGUAGCGCCUCGUGAAUUCAUCUCCGGGGGUAGAGCACUGUUUCGGCAAGGGGGUCAUCCCGACUUACCAACCCGAUGCAAACUGCGAAUACCGGAGAAUGUUAUCACGGGAGACACACGGCGGGUGCUAACGUCCGUCGUGAAGAGGGAAACAACCCAGACCGCCAGCUAAGGUCCCAAAGUCAUGGUUAAGUGGGAAACGAUGUGGGAAGGCCCAGACAGCCAGGAUGUUGGCUUAGAAGCAGCCAUCAUUUAAAGAAAGCGUAAUAGCUCACUGGUCGAGUCGGCCUGCGCGGAAGAUGUAACGGGGCUAAACCAUGCACCGAAGCUGCGGCAGCGACGCUGAUGCGUUGUUGGGUAGGGGAGCGUUCUGUAAGCCUGCGAAGGUGUGCUGUGAGGCAUGCUGGAGGUAUCAGAAGUGCGAAUGCUGACAUAAGUAACGAUAAAGCGGGUGAAAAGCCCGCUCGCCGGAAGACCAAGGGUUCCUGUCCAACGUUAAUCGGGGCAGGGUGAGUCGACCCCUAAGGCGAGGCCGAAAGGCGUAGUCGAUGGGAAACAGGUUAAUAUUCCUGUACUUGGUGUUACUGCGAAGGGGGGACGGAGAAGGCUAUGUUGGCCGGGCGACGGUUGUCCCGGUUUAAGCGUGUAGGCUGGUUUUCCAGGCAAAUCCGGAAAAUCAAGGCUGAGGCGUGAUGACGAGGCACUACGGUGCUGAAGCAACAAAUGCCCUGCUUCCAGGAAAAGCCUCUAAGCAUCAGGUAACAUCAAAUCGUACCCCAAACCGACACAGGUGGUCAGGUAGAGAAUACCAAGGCGCUUGAGAGAACUCGGGUGAAGGAACUAGGCAAAAUGGUGCCGUAACUUCGGGAGAAGGCACGCUGAUAUGUAGGUGAGGUCCCUCGCGGAUGGAGCUGAAAUCAGUCGAAGAUACCAGCUGGCUGCAACUGUUUAUUAAAAACACAGCACUGUGCAAACACGAAAGUGGACGUAUACGGUGUGACGCCUGCCCGGUGCCGGAAGGUUAAUUGAUGGGGUCAGCGCAAGCGAAGCUCUUGAUCGAAGCCCCGGUAAACGGCGGCCGUAACUAUAACGGUCCUAAGGUAGCGAAAUUCCUUGUCGGGUAAGUUCCGACCUGCACGAAUGGCGUAAUGAUGGCCAGGCUGUCUCCACCCGAGACUCAGUGAAAUUGAACUCGCUGUGAAGAUGCAGUGUACCCGCGGCAAGACGGAAAGACCCCGUGAACCUUUACUAUAGCUUGACACUGAACAUUGAGCCUUGAUGUGUAGGAUAGGUGGGAGGCUUUGAAGUGUGGACGCCAGUCUGCAUGGAGCCGACCUUGAAAUACCACCCUUUAAUGUUUGAUGUUCUAACGUUGAC